AUGAGUUAUCCAGAUAGUAAGAACUGCCAAAGUUGGUGUCUGAGAUAACACAUUGUGGAGCUGGGGGAAAGCAGGCAGCAUCAGAGGCUCAAGAAAGUUGAUGUUUUGGGUCAGGACCCUUCCUCCAAAAUGGAGGGUGGACGGGAGCUCAGAAACAAAUAGUGUGGAGAGGGAGGAGGUGCUGGGGAAGGUAGGUGGGAUGGUGAUAAAUGAGUACUAUCCAGAUUGGAACAGAUUUACCCCAGAAGGUAUUGAAUACAAGUUCCAAAUCACUCUCAAAAUCCUAGUGACCGUUCAUGUUUUUUUUGUCUGUGUGUUUCAGUAAUUGCAUGUCAGUUUGAAUGGUUCAUUGAGAGUGAGGAACCUAUGGACUCACACACACCAACAUGGAAUUUAAUUCAAAGAGUGACUCCUCUUCAAAGUACUUAAUCGCUUUUAAAAUCUUGACCAUUUCUGCUGUCUAGUUAAACAAGUGUAGCUGAAUACUGCUUCAAUAGGAAUUAGUGUUUAAUAGGAACAUAUUUGUGAAACUUACAGUUCCUCAAGCUUUAGCAUAAACUGGUGGAGACUUUCGGCGCUUGCAAAAAGGCUCACCUCUCUGUUAAUACUGAAGGAAAAUUGGAGUUUAAAAGUAAGUUCACCCGGUGUCAGGGAAUGAAAUGUUAAUGUUGACUUGAAUAUAAUUUUUAAAAAAGUAAUAUAUUUGUGUAGCACUAAACUCAAAUUAAAAUUUGGAUAUGCCAGUUGACUCCUGUUUGACACUGGAUGGAAUGGCGGUGACAUCAGAUUCAGUGAUGAUUGAGAAUCUAAAGAAUAUGAGGAUAAGAUUUAAAAUCCAAAUAUCAUUGAACUCUUCAAGAAAUGUAUUACUGGAAAAGGGGGAAAGCAUGUAUGUCUAUUAGAAUUGAAUACACUCUGAAGGCGGUGGCACAGAUGAAACAGACCUGUGUGCUAAAACUUAUCACAAAUUUCACAUUGAAUGGAACAGUUUAAACAGGCUGGAGGAAGCAGACAUGCCAGCGCAAACUUUUGAAUUUGUGCAUUCUGUUCAUAAACAUCAGCAAAAUUGUGGGAACCUGUUUAUUCUUUCUCUUUUAUUGCACAAAACCAUACGAUUACACUAAUUUUGAUGAGGAAUUUAAAGAUUAUGAGCCCCGUCCGUUUGACCCGCAGUUUGGCACCAUAGGUUGGCACGAUCUUCGUUCGAGAAGGAAGAGGGAUGUUCCAGACACAGAAAAUCGUCAAACCAUUUACUACAAAGUCUGUUUCUGCUUAGUAUUAAUUAAUGCAGUUAACAUUUUCAGAUCGACAUGAUUGCAGAAUGGAGUCAAUAAAACAAAUUCCAUCUGAUAUUCAACAUAAAUUUUAAGUUUAGAAUAACAAGCUCACAAGAGCUUGGUUUUAGAUAUCACUUGGGACCACAGACUAACAGACAAAGGAACAAAGCAAAACGACUCUGCGAUUUGAUGUAGAAACUCCUGACUCCGAAGCCUGCAGCCGCCCUCCAAUUCUCAAGUCAGAAGUGUGCCAAUGAUGGUGCAGAUCCAACAACACUGGAAACGAUCUUGAGUCUAGACCAAAGCAGCCCCUUGAUUGGCACCGUAUCCAUUCUCUCCACAACCAACUCCAAGACACAAUAAUGUGUCCAUAUACAAGAUGCACUGCCACAUUUUUUUCCAACUAUUCUUACACCCGCCUUUCCAGACUUAGAAAACUCAUCUUCAAGGUCAAGGACAUCAGACAUGGUAGCACUAAUCCCAGUAAAAAUCACCUCCAAGCUACUCUCAAACUUAUUUGGAAAUGAAUGAUUGUUCCUGAGUCAAUAUUAGUAAUCUCUUUUGGAACAGCAUUGUGGGUCUGUGUACAGCAACAUGAAGCUGUUCAAGAAGUCAAUUUGUGCUGGACAAUCAGCAACAGCUAUGUCUCAUUAAAGAAUAAAUAAAUCGGAAAGAAAUCCAUCUGAGAGUCACAAGCAAAUGGGUAACUUUUUUUUGUUCACUCUGCAGCUCGUGGGCUAUUACCAAUUUUGACAAUGACAAAUGAAGCUUUUGUUUGGUUUGCUAUUGAUAGCAGCUGUCCACAAAAUAAAAACAAUUGGCAUCAGAGAUAAUGGGAACUGCAGAUGCUGGAGAAUCCAAGAUUACAAAGUGUGGAGCUGGAUGAACACAGCAGGCCAAGCAGUAUCUCAGGAGCACAAAAGCUGACGUUUCGGGCCUCGACCCUUCAUCAGAAAAGAGGGAGGAGGAGAGGGCUCUGAAAGAAAUAGGGAGAGGGGAAGGCAGAUUGAAGAUGGAUAGAGGGGAAGAUAGGUGCAGAGGAGACAGACAAGCAAUAAGGAAGGAGAGGAUCAAAUAUCAAGGUAGGCUAGCUAGUCAUAUCAGAAAUCAUAGUAACGGCUUCUUUCAAUACAUAAGAAACAAACGUGAGGCAAAAGUAGACACUGGGCCACUCCAAAUUGAUGCUGGAAGGCAAGUGGUGGGAGAUAAGGAAGUAGCUGAAGAACUUAAUAAGUACUUUGCGUCAGUCUUCACAGUGGAAGACAUGAGUAAUAUGCCAACAAUUGGGGAGAGCCAGGGGGCAGAGCUGAGGAUGGUAGGAAUUACAAAAGAGCAAGUGCUAAAAGAGCUAAAAGGUCUAAAAAUUGAUAAAUCUCCUGGCCCCAAUGGGCUAUAUCCUAGAGUUCUGAACAAGGUGGCUGAGGAAAUAGCAGAGGCUUUGGCUAUGAUCUUUCAAAAGUCAGUGUAGUUUUUUUUUUGAGUGCGAGCAGCAGCGGAGGCAAGACGGACCCGGAAGACUGCAGCUAAGGUAAAGCAGUUUAUUUUGAAAAUUACUUACCGAUAGCGGGCAGCGGUGUUUUUCCUCUUUCAGAGAAGGAGCGGGAGCAGCAGAGGAAGUGACGAGGACCAGAGGGGCAGCCGGGAAGGAAAGCAGUGAGUAUAAAUACUCACCCUUCGACGCCAACGGCCAUUAUGAGUGCGAGCAGCAGCAGAGGCAAGAUGGACCCGGAAGACUGCAGCUAAGAUGCGGAUAAAGUUCUCCAAGCUGACAGAAAUUGAAAGCACUCGCAUCCUGUGACGAUGGGGUAGGAGUGGAAGAAUCAGAGUGUUUCUUUGAAAAUUGGCUUGAUGUGUCUGUCCAAGGGUCAUCUGGAGGAAAAAAUACAAGUAUAUCUUCAAACAAGUAGCUGAACCCACAGAUUUAUGUGACCAACGAAGCCUGAGCCUUUUGCUUCACGAUGCAGUCCAGAUCCCUCGGCAGCUGGGUGAGGUAGCUUCAUUUGGAGGCAGCACCAUUGAACCAAGUGUCCGCAGUUGCUUCCAACAUGCACUCAGACAUGAACUAAUGGAUAAGGAGGAGACAAUCAUAACUGCUUUGGAUUCAGCCCAUAGAAGGGCCAGAGGAGCCGCGCUGACACCUUCAUGUUUAAACAGAGGACACUUUUCUGCGUGCCACGAGAUGUAUAUCAGCCAUACCAAAAUGCUGCCUUUGCCUGAGACAGGGAAGAUCAACUGACUUUGGGGAAAUGGAGAAUCAUUCAUGAAUCCAGUUACUUUCUGAUCUGACAGCUUUGUGGCAUCUGAAUGGAUAACAAUUUGAUCUGAUGUUGCCAGACCCGGUGAGCUAUUCCAGCAACUUUGUUUUAGUUCCUGAUGAGCUGCGACUUUGUACUUGACUGAUUUCCAACAUCAAAAGUUCUAAAGGUUGGAAGAGAUUGGUUUACCUUGACUUCCUAGCUUGAAAAUGUGCCUUUUAUGCAAAGAAACUGUACUCUGGGACAGUGGUUUUUCAGAUUUACCUGCAGGUCCAGCUGUGAAUCGGAGUUGAAGUAGUUGCAAGCACUGAUGAAUAGGCAGCUAUUUAGCCUCUGGAUGGAAUCCUGUGGAAGCGACGAGGGUCUAGGUCAUUGACUCGAGAACUGAUGAGGGAACGGCUUGCCCCAACCAGCUUCCCUUCAGGGGAACGCCAGCCUCAGGUCGCUCCCCUCAAGGGGUAUGUCAUCCUGACCUUGCUCCUCUCAUGCGUAGGCAGCUACAUCUUUCUCCCCUCUGGCACAUAAUAGACCGGUGGAAAACCUGGUGGGAUGUCACUUUCCAUGAGCGGUUGGCUAACCAGAACCCAGCAUGUGUACUAAGCAGCAGUGUCACUUGGGAGGUGAUGAUCUCUGUUACCAUUGGCAACCAACCUACGAUUAUUGCUCGAUCUCGGACCAGGAUUGAGUGAAACACCAUUAGCACGCCACUUCCCCUUCUUGAUGUUGCACAUUGAAUGCCUUUGAAAGCCUGUUACAUUUCUUAAUGGUGACUCCCCUGCCCACUGUUGACUCAAUACCAGUUGUUGUGGGAUGAUGUAUGUGUACGUCAGUUGCUCAAUUGGGGACUUUAACUCGCAAUGAAGUUGGGAAGUUAUGCACAAGUCUUCUCACCAUGGAUUUAAUCUGGCUCUAAGCAGAAUUGUAGGUGGUGCCAUCCUUCCACCUGAUUAAAUGUCCUCUAUUUUCAAACUUGCCACAAGGGAAAGUACAAAAUCCCGCUGUUUUUGUUAUCAAUUCAUGGUUUUUAAUUUUGCAAUCAGUGUCGUAAGCAGCAGAUUAGUUCAGUCCUUGUGAAAUUGAAGGCAAUGCAACACUUUAAUUGGUCACUUUUUAACAUGGCAGGUUCUCAGACUGAGGAAAUGGUGAAUGUUGUUGAUCUUUAAUGCAAUAUAAUGGAGGAGAGAAAAAUCUGGACUAUAGAGCCCACAGGAAGAAAAUUAUAAUCUGUCAGUGCUGCCUCCAUUAGAACAAUGCCAAGUAAAUACCCGUCCCCAUAUCGAACAAUAGAAGUUUCCUGCAUAUCAGAACAUACCCAUUGAGUGGGGAACUGAUGAAUAAUGCAGGAGCACCAUCGGAUUGAAAUACUUUUAUUCUAAGAAUUUCAGAACAUGCUGGGAUUUUUAUAGCAAGCAAUACUUGUGAUGGAAUAUUCUUUUAAUGUCAAAAUGCUGCAACAGUUUGGAAGAACCAAUAUUAAAUGGAUAUUAUUGCAGAUAAUAUAUGUGAAUUAAAUAAAAUUGUUUGCUUAAAGUAUUUUGUAAUUCGAAUUGAAUGUCGCAUUUUUGUAUCUUAGUUGUCUUCUGUUUCUAAUUUUUCUUAUUUUUAUAGAGCAGGUAUUGUCCUGGUCACUUGUAAUGCUGCCAAUUCAAGAUUAACUACAUGGAUGGUCUCUAUCAGUUGCUUAAUCCCCGAUGUCAGUUUGCAAUCCUGAAUCCAAGAUUGUCACUUCAUCUUUCAAUUCUGUGUAUAAUCAAAGUCUGAGAUCAACAGCUUUCAUUUUACUAUCUGGAAGUCAAUCAGUGCAGAUUUUGUUUGUAAACAAGCGUUCUGUAUGUAAAACUGCUUCGUUUAAUUAGAUUAGUUAGUUAAGAUUCAUUUUAAUGAAAUGAAUCAUAACUAAGCUUCAUCUCUUCCUCAUUCUGAUUCUGAACACAUGGUAUGUCACGCAAUGGCAAUUCAAUUUUGCAUUGGUGCCGGUUCAAACCAUGUGUUUUCCAACUACAGAUUGAUACAGAUGAAAUUGUACCAUUUCCUUUUUAGUACCAUUCUCACCAUACAGUGUUUCUGUUCAUUACGUUUCUGUGCACAGUUCUGAACCAGUCCCCUUGCCCCUGAGCUUGCCAAAUGUCUCAAUGUUGUCAUGACAUUGUCAAAGAAUUCAUUCCUUGGUAGAUUCAGAGAUAAAUUAAUGUAACCUAGUAUGUGUUAAUGCCUCUGCUGUAAUCGGGCGAAACACUCAGGCCAUUGUCUUAAUUUUUCUCUCUUGUAUUUAUAUUGAAAUGUUGACCAUGCCAUUUGCUCCACUUACUGGGAUUGGACUUGUUACAGAAGUGCUGAACGUCAACUUGCCAAAUACAAUUGGAUGAAAAGUAUGAGGCCAAUCAGUCUCUUGAAACACUUUCUCUAUGCAAUCAACAUAACAACAUUCAUUGACAAUGAAAAAUUACGUACGUGCUUCAGAAGAUUAGAUUUGAAACAGAGAUUUGUGAAUAUGAAUGGAGCUAUAUAUGUCCCCAUCUCAGGCACCAACCUCAAGUUCACCUGGACUAUCUACAACACCUCUGUCACCUUCCUGGACCUCUCUGUCUCCAUCUCAGAACCUAACCCGGAAGAGAGAGCCCAGAGAAUUGCCAAAGCUGUCCUCAAACAGUCAACAGAAGUGAAGGAAAAUUGGGAGCAAUUGAAAAUCCAUGCAAGCAACUGGCAGAAACAGGUGGAAAAGGCAUUGGAGAAACUUCAAGAACUGCAGAAAGCUCUGGAUGAUCUUGAGGCUCGUGAUAACAGCUGAGGGGGUCCACACUGAUUGGCAACCUGUGGGUGACCUGCUUAUUGACUCAUUGCAGGAUCACAUUGAUAAAACCAAAAUAAGUGCAAUUACAUUGCACUUCACUUAUGAACAGAUGUAACUGCAAUGUUGUAUCGAGACGAUCAGUAAUAUGAGUACUUAAGUAAUAUUGAUUGAAUGGUUGUUAACUUAAUUUGAAAAUUAAAACUUAGUUGAGCAUG